UUGCGGCCACAUUACGUUGAAACACCGGUUCCCGCACGAUCACUGAAGUUAAGCAAUCUCGAAUUUGAUCAUUACCUAGAUGAGUGACCGCUUGAAAAUACCAGGUGCUGUG